ACCCAUUACUGAAUUUUCUUUUUUAUUUGGAGGGAGAGAAUGAGAAAAAAAAAGAGAUGGAAGAGAAAUAGAGAGAAGGUUCUAUAGCUUUCUUCACUCAUCAGAACCCACCAUCAACGUUCGUCAUCAUCAUCGGGGCUUGUGGAUGGAGCGAACACAAGACUUGAUUUGGUUUGAAACCUGCCGAAUCUGGUGGUGGCGGUGACAAAGGAGUUUUAGGGCUUUCUUGAUGACCUAAGGGCGGCGAUUAGCGGUGGUUUUUAAGCUCGAGUAACAGCGGCGACCAAAAAUGCUUAGAUUGGCCGCUGCAUUUGAUUAGGGUUCAGGCGGCAGCGUAGGAAAGUAUAUGCCGUAUACUAAGGCAAUGGAGACAAAAUCGUUUUCUGGCCACGAUCAUGACCGAUAGGCGCAACAUGGGUCAUUACCAACCGGAUCUGCGGCGGUGUCGGGUGUAUGUGCUUAUUUACGGCUAGCUCAGGCAGAGUUGAUAGUUGAAAGUUGUUACGAAAUUGUGUUAUCAGCUGCAACAUUGCUGAAUGCUUUUCAGUGGUGAGUAGUGGCGGUUUAGGGUUCUUACAGGAGUAAAUCUGUAGCUUUAGAUUAGGAAGACUGAGGCUUGGUUGUGGUUACGGAGCUCUAGCGAUUCAAGAUGAGGAGCUGCUGCAAUGGCUUUGUCAGCUGCAGCAAACAUCAGAUAGAAAUUGCAUGUUCACAGUUUACUCAAUCAUGGUAAAUUCUGACCAGUUUAUUUGUGCUUUUAGGCAAACAGUGCUGUUCCUAUCCUUUGUGUUGCUAGAAAUGUUGCUUGCAAUGUCAGAGGUGGUUUUUUCAAGUAAGAAAGUGAUUUUUGGUUAAUAUUCACUAUUCGCUGCAACAAUAUGCAUGAUUGCCACCCAAGUGAGUAUAAGACUGUAAUUUUGUUAGAAUCAUUUGAACACCAUUUGAUUGCACUUGAGUGUCUAAUACGCACACAUUUAAUUUACCAUGACCAAUAAUUCAAAUUCAUGAUUAAGAUAACUGACAUGUCUUUGUAAUUAUCCCAAAUUGUUAAAUGUAAAAUAAGCCACUAGCAUUAUUGAAUUUCAUAACUAAAAGAUUACUAGCAACUUUUCAAACAUUUAUACUGGUUUUUUCUUAUAGCUUGUUUAGUACUCCCUAGGUUCAGUCAAAAAUCAAUAAAUAUAUUUAUUUUUCAGGUUGCAUUGUUCCAGUUAUGGGAUACGGGAUCAUCGCAAGUUGCUCUGUCAUUUGGUAAAGUCAUCAGGUGUUUUCUUGUUAUUGUUUCAGCUUGUUGUAUCGUAUGUUUUGGACCAGAAAAAGAAAUGGAGUGAGAUAUGCUUGGCA